AAGCAUUCAAAUAAUAAAAGGCUAAAUUCCCAUAUUAUAAUAUUUGAUAUUUAGCAAACAUGUAAUGAAGAUUGUAUAUUUUGUCUACCCAGAAGAUUCCGAUCUAAACCCAAAAGAUUGUAUAUUUUGUCUACCAAAUCAUCAUAACCUACCAUCUCUGUAAGGAACAACACUUGUUUCGGUAUAGAAGGAUCAUAUGAAAUUGACCCUCCUUCGUUUAUAAUUUUUCCACCCCAAUAUACUUGAAUCACCAAGCAAUUAUCACUUGACAUGUUAUACCUAUUAGAGACGAGUGUUGAUAGCAUUUUAGAAC
rnacentral:lncRNA from 1 species